CCCCGAGCUGGUCCGCCGGCAGGUGUUAGACGUGGGGCCGCGCUCCAGCAGUCUCAUCCGCGAGGGCUCCUACCGCGUGGUGUGGUGCCAUGUUCCAGGAGAAUGUGGCCAAGGACGACAGGGCAUUUCCAGCUGGCCGCAGCAGACCUGAGCCUCAGCGAUGACAUCCUGCAGAGCUAGAAGAUCACCUGCUCCGUCAAGGUCAUCGAGGUCAACAACCCUUUUCAGGCCCUGCAGGAAGCUGGUUUAAUUUUGUAAAGGGACACUUCCCUUCAUCUACAGCCACCCAUUGAAGCAGUUCAUAGAGGAAAGGCAGUCUCCUACAAAAUCUGUAUAUAGUGCCAGACAUUGGACCCAUCCAGACUGAGAACUACCUGGGCCACCAGGAGUAAAACCUCAGACUGUCACAGUAAGUGAGCUGAGCUGAACUAGUCAACGGUUGAACUGUCUCGUGUGUCCUGUGUCCGGGGCUGAGAAAGCCGACCACUGUCAUCUGGCAGCACUGCCACCUGGGGUGAGGCUGUCAGUCUCUGCUUGGCUCCUCAAGGUCACAUCACAGCCUCUUCUGGAUCUGCUGUCCACAUUCCAGAUCUCAAUUUUUGAUCCAGUUUUUUGGACAUACUGCUUCCCCAAGUUCCUAUUCCUCCACCUCUGCCCACCUCAUUAGAGAACAGAAGAGGAUCUUCUCUGAGCUGCUUCCAAGGAACAGGCAGAUGAAAACCCCACUGUGGAUCCAAUCGCCUGCCUGGGAAAUGAAAGCAUCUUUGCCACAAGAAAAUCCUGGUUAGAAACUGCAUCUCUAAUUCCCCUGGGAAUGAAGAGACACCAAGCAGAGGGCCUCUGUGGUGGGUAAACGAAACCCAACUCAUCUGAAAAUCACUCCAUCUCCUCCCCUUCUUCUUGGUGUUUAGUGUAAGCAAACAGCCCAGGUCAUCACCACAUGGCUUUCAUUAGUUUUUUUACUUAAGAAGAGAAAAGUCAUCUAAAUGAGGACAAAUUCUCCAAAUCAAUGGUUGACUUCCUAAGGUCUCUUGUAGCUGAAAGUGGCCAGAUGAACGUCAGGCAGAUUAGAAGUGAGCAAAAGGAUCGUGUGGGCUGUGUGGGUUUUGGGGAGACUGUUUAGAUAGAGUAGAUGCAGCUGAGUUGGCCCUUUGACCCCUCCUCUUUCCUCAUUCCUGCCUCCGAGGUAAAGACACGGGGGACUGGACAAGGUUGGUGCUCCAGCAGCCAUUUUGGACCAAGAGACAGCCUUGAGGAUGGACAGCAGCUAAAGAUACUGAAAGGGUCUGAAAGAUGGAUAAUGGCUGACUACUGUGGUGUGCUGUUGACAGUAUGAACUCUCUACACUUGUAGUUCUUUUCCAUGAGAAAGGAAAAACCUUACCACUCUACGCCUGUGGUAUUCUGGGGUUUCUGCUCUAUUAGGGAAAUAUCGGCAUCCAAUGAGAGUGGUCCCGUCUGGCCAAGUCAGACAACCUGAGCUGCCCUGACUCUGACACCACAUCCCCUAUCAUUCUCUCUACUUAUGAGCUACACAACAUCUCAACCUUCUACAGGGUCUAAGGUAGAAAAGGGAUGUUCAGGGAUCUGUACUGAAUGUGUUUUCUAGGGGCAAAUUUGGUUUUACAUAGAGACUCUGGAAUGAUGAUUCUUAGUAACAUCCUACAAACCAACCCAGAGCCUGUGCUCCUAAGCCUCAGGGUAGAGCCUCAGCCCAAGCAGGCCUUCCUCUGGGCCCUUGAAUCUCUGCUUCAUCUGCUCCCAAUUUAAACAAGGGCUUCUGUUUUUCCCCCUCUUGGGAGACCUUGGAAUUUCCUUUGUGAGGACCUAUGUUCUCUGCACCGGGGGCUCCAUCUCUGGGCGGCGAGGAGGGAGGUCACUGACCGUGGUCUCACUAACUCAGACCAUGGGACCCCCUUGACCUUACUUUGAUGGACAUGUUGGCCCUCCUUCCUCGCCACUUGUGCUUUUGGGCAAAAGGCAGAGUCCCUUCCCCUGCAGAAGCUGAAUGACAGGAUGUUAGCCACCGGGGGUCUGGACCAGGAACAAAGCAGGGAGUCACUGCUGGGGGAGCCUGAGGGGUGGAAGGGCCUGUGCUCAGCUCUGAAGCUCCUGACCUGAAGCUCUGGCCUUCGCGUAGUUUCCUUGAGCACCUGAUAUGUUUUGUUACAACUGUUUCUGCUCAUAUGAGCUCAAGUGGGAGCCACUGCUGCAGCUAGGAAAUUCCGCUGGAGGGAACACAUCCAAGGCCUUGUCUUUAAUUUGGUGACACACCUUAUUUUUAAUACUUAAAAUUUAUAUUUAAAGCAAAAAACCCCAUGAUAAUCAGUCUUCUCAUACAUUACUCAGCCAGACACAACAGGCUACUGUAAUAUGAUAUCACCAGUAAGAAUAACCAGGGCUUGUAAAUUCACAGCCACAUCAGGCACAGUGGGUGUGCCAGCACUGAAGGGGAGGGGAGGCAGCAGAGCCUGACUCAUACUUACAGCACUUUCCUUUGAUCAAAAUGUUCUGGUAUAGAUA